rfam:Camelus ferus unplaced genomic scaffold scaffold346, whole genome shotgun sequence.
GAGGGUAUAGCUCAAGUGGUAGAGCGCAUGCUUAGCAUAUGCAAGGUUCUGGGUUCAAUCCCCAGUACCUCCU